AUUGAACGCUGGCGGCAUGCCUUACACAUGCAAGUCGAACGGUAACAGGUCUUCGGAUGCUGACGAGUGGCGAACGGGUGAGUGAUACAUCGGAACGUGCCUAGUAGUGGGGGAUAACUACUCGAAAGAGUGGCUAAUACCGCAUGAGAUCUACGGAUGAAAGCAGGGGAUCGCAAGACCUUGUGCUACUAGAGCGGCCGAUGGCAGAUUAGGUAGUUGGGAUAAAAGCUUACCAAGCCGACAAUCUGGAGCUGGUCUGAGAGGACGCGCAGCCACACUGGGACUGAGAAACGGCCCAGACUCCUACGGGAGACAGCAGUGGGGAAUUUUGGACNNUGGGCGAAAGCCUGNUCCAGCAAUGCCGCGUGCAGGAUGAAGGCCCUCGGGUUNUAAACUGCUUUUGUACGGAACGAAAAGCCCCGNGUUAAUACNCUGGGGUCAUGACGGUACCGUAAGAAUAAGCACCGGCUAACUACGUGCCAGCAGCCGCCGUAA
rnacentral:rRNA from 1 species